GACGAAUGCUGGCGGCGUGCUUAAUACAUGCAAGUCGAACGGAGCCUAGCCGGUAGUUUACUACAGGCGAAAGCUUAGUGGCGGACGGGUGAGUAACGCGUGGGCAAUCUGCCCCUAAGUCCGGGAUAACAGAGCGAAAGUUCUGCUAAGACCGGAUACUCUUCCUUGGUCGCAUGGCGGAGGAAGGAAAGGAUACGCUUAGGGAUGAGCCCGCGUCCCAUUAGCUAGUUGGUGAGGUAACGGCCCACCAAGGCGACGAUGGGUAGCCGGCCUGAGAGGGUGGACGGCCACACUGGGACUGAGACACGGCCCAGACUCCUACGGGAGGCAGCAGUAGGGAAUUUCCGCAAUGGGGGAAACCCUGACGGAGCAACGCCGCGUGAGGGAAGAAGGUCUUCGGAUCGUAAACCUUUGUCAUCGAGGACGAUAAUGACGGUACUCGAGGAGGAAGCCCCGGCUAACUACGUG
rnacentral:rRNA from 1 species